UACGAAGGGGACUAGCGUUGUUCGGAAUCACUGGGCGUAAAGCGCGCGCAGGCGGUCUUCCAAGUCAGUGGUGAAAGCCCGGAGCUCAACUCCGGAACUGCCAUUGAAACUGUGAGACUUGAGGAUGAGAGAGGUGAGUGGAAUUCCCAGUGUAGAGGUGAAAUUCGUAGAUAUUGGGAAGAACGACCGGUGGCGAAGGCGGCUCACUGGCUCAUUACUGACGCUCAGGCGCGACAGCGUGGGGAGCGAACAGG
rnacentral:rRNA from 1 species